rnacentral:rRNA from 1 species
AGAGUUUGAUCCUGGCUCAGAACGAACGCUGGCGGCGUGCCUAACACAUGCAAGUCGUGCGAGAAAGUUCCUUCGGGAAUGAGUAAAGCGGCGCACGGGUGAGUAACACGUAGGUAAUCUCCCCUCGAGCCCGGAAUAACCUACCGAAAGGUGGGCUAAUACCGGAUAUGACCACGGAAGUUUCGGCUUCUGCGGUGAAAGAUGGCCUCUAUUUAUAAGCUAUCACUCAAGGAUGAGCCUGCGUACCAUUAGCUAGUUGGUGGGGUAAUGGCCCACCAAGGCUAUGAUGGUUAGCUGGUCUGAGAGGAUGGCCAGCCACACUGGGACUGAAACACGGCCCAGACUCCUACGGGAGGCAGCAGUGGGGGAUAUUGCGCAAUGGGCGAAAGCCUGACGCAGCGACGCCGCGUGGGUGAUGAAGGCCUUCGGGUCGUAAAGCCCUGUCGAGGGGAAAGAAUCGAUUACGGCCUAAUACGUCGUGAUCCUGACGGUACCCCUAAAGGAAGCACCGGCUAACUCCGUGCCAGCAGCCGCGGUAAUACGGAGGGUGCGAGCGUUGUUCGGAAUCACUGGGCGUAAAGCGCGUGUAGGCGGCCCACUAAGUCUGAUGUGAAAGCCCGGGGCUCACCCCCGGAAGUGCAUUGGAAACUGGUGGACUCGAGUCCCGGAGAGGAGAGUGGAAUUCCUGGUGUAGCGGUGAAAUGCGUAGAUAUCAGGAGGAACACCGGUGGCGAAGGCGGCUCUCUGGACGGUGACUGACGCUGAGACGCGAAAGCGUGGGGAGCAAACAGGAUUAGAUACCCUAGUAGUCC